AGCGAACGCUGGCGGCAGGCUUAACACAUGCAAGUCGAGCGGGCACUUCGGUGUCAGCGGCAGACGGGUGAGUAACACGUGGGAACGUACCCUUCGGUUCGGAAUAACGCUGGGAAACUAGCGCUAAUACCGGAUACGCCCUUGUGGGGAAAGGUUUACUGCCGAAGGAUCGGCCCGCGUCUGAUUCGCUAGUUGGUGGGGUAAUGGCCUACCAAGGCGACGUUCAGUAGCUGGUCUGAGAGGAUGAUCAGCCACACUGGGACUGAGACACGGCCCAGACUCCUACGGGAGGCAGCAGUGGGGAAUAUUGGCCAAUGGGCGCAAGCCUGAUCCAGCCAUGCCGCGUGAGUGAUGAAGGCCUUAGGGUUGUAAAGCUCUUUUGUCCGGGACGAUAAUGACGGUACCGGAAGAAUAAGCCCCGGCUAACUUCGUG
rnacentral:rRNA from 1 species